rnacentral:rRNA from 1 species
AGCUCCAAUAGCGUAUAUUAAAGUUGUUGCAGUUAAAAAGCUCGUAGUUGGAUUUUGGGACUUUGAUUGGUCCGGUCUGCCGGGAUGGUGUGUACUGACCAGUCAGUUCUUCCUUCCAGUUUGCUCCCGUCUGCCCUUAACUGGGUGGGCGCGGUCAGCUCUGGAUCGUUUACUUUGAAAAAAUUAGAGUGUUCAAAGCAGGUACUGUUGCGCCUUGAAUACAUUAGCAUGGGAUAAUAGAAUAGGACUUUGCUCUUAUUUUGUUGGUUUCUAAGAGACAGAGUAAUGAUUAAUAGAGAUAGUUGGGGGUAUUCAUAUUUAAUUGUCAGAGGUGAAAUUCUUGGAUUUAUGAAAGAUGAACUUCUGCGAAAGCAUUUACCAAGGAUGUUUUCAUUAAUCA